rnacentral:rRNA from 1 species
CGGGACGGGUGAGUAAUGUCUGGGAAACUGCCUGAUGGAGGGGGAUAACUACUGGAAACGGUAGCUAAUACCGCAUAACGUCGCAAGACCAAAGAGGGGGACCUUCGGGCCUCUUGCCAUCGGAUGUGCCCAGAUGGGAUUAGCUAGUAAGUGGGGUAACGGCUCACCUAGGCGACGAUCCCUAGCUGGUCUGAGAGGAUGGCCAGCCACACUGGAACUGAGACACGGUCCAG